AGAUAAGCCCGUGCAUGUGUAAGUAAAAAUAAUUAACUUUGAAAUUGGAACGGGUUCUUAAUUUCAGUUAUAGUUUAUUUGAGUGAAGUAUACUAAUUGGAUAACCGUAGUAAUUCUAGGGCUAAUACAUGAGUAAAGUCCCAUUGUGAAUGUGUUUAUUAAAAAGGAAACCAAAUGGUUCCGGCUGAUAAUGAAUAAUAAUAACCUAUCCUAACCCAAGGCUUAAGGAACCAUGAAUCUUUCAAGUUUCCGCCCUAUCAACUUUCGAUGGGAGCAUUAGGGUCCACCAUGGGAGUAACGGGUAACGAAAAAAUUGGGUUCCAUUUCCGAAAAGGAGCCCGAAAAAUGGAUACCACCACCAAAGGAAGGGACGGGGGCGUAAAUUUACCUAACCCGACCCCGGGAGGGAGUGGCAAUAAAAUCAAAAUGGCGGGACUUCUACUCUUGGUUUUGGAAUUGGAACGACAGACAACUCCUAACCAUAACCCCAUGGAAGGGAAGGCCGGGUCCGGCGCCCGCG
rnacentral:rRNA from 1 species